rnacentral:rRNA from 1 species
GACGAACGCUGGCGGCGUGCCUAAUACAUGCAAGUAGAACGCACAGUUUAUACCGUAGCUUGCUACACCAUAGACUGUGAGUUGCGAACGGGUGAGUAACGCGUAGGUAACCUGCCUGGUAGCGGGGGAUAACUAUUGGAAACGAUAGCUAAUACCGCAUAAUAUUGAUUAUUGCAUGAUAAUUGAUUGAAAGAUGCUAUUGCAUCACUACCAGAUGGACCUGCGUUGUAUUAGCUAGUAGGUGAGGUAACGGCUCACCUAGGCGACGAUACAUAGCCGACCUGAGAGGGUGAUCGGCCACACUGGGACUGAGACACGGCCCAGACUCCUACGGGAGGCAGCAGUAGGGAAUCUUCGGCAAUGGACGAAAGUCUGACCGAGCAACGCCGCGUGAGUGAAGAAGGUUUUCGGAUCGUAAAGCUCUGUUGUAAGAGAAGAAAGGGUGUGAGAGUGGAAAGUUCACACUGUGACGGUAUCUUACCAGAAAGGGACGGCUAACUACGUG